CGCAACGAGCGCAACCCUUAAGCUUAGUUGCCAUCAUUAAGUUGGGCACUCUAAGUUGACUUCCGGUGACAAACCGGAGGAAGGUGGGGAUGACGUCAAAUCAUCAUGCCCCUUAUGAUUUGGGCUACACACGUGCUAAAAUGGACAAUACAAAGGGCAGCGAAACCGCGAGGUCAAGCAAAUCCCAUAAAGUUGUUCUCAGAACGGAUUGUAUACUGCAACUCGACUACAUGAAGCUGGAAUCGCUAGUAAUCGU
rnacentral:rRNA from 1 species